UACAGAGGUCUCAAGCGUUGUUCGGAUUCAUUGGGCGUAAAGGGGUGCGUAGCGGCGCGGUAAGUCGGGUGUGAAAUCUCGGAGCUUAACUCCGAAACUGCAUUCGAUACUGCCGUGCUUGAGGACUGGAGAGGAGACUGGAAUUUUACGGUGUAGCGGUGAAAUGCGUAGAUAUCUGGAGGAACACCGGUGGCGAAGGCGGCAUCCUGGACCAACACUGACGCUGAGUGAGCGAAAGCCAGGGGGAGCAAACGGG
rnacentral:rRNA from 1 species